GGCGGCAUGGCCGAGUGGUAAGGCGGGGACUGCAAAUCCUUUUCUCCCUCAUAAAUCCGGGUGCCGCCU
rnacentral:tRNA from 1 species